UACGUAGGGUGCAAGCGUUAAUCGGAAUUACUGGGCGUAAAGCGUGCGCAGGCGGUUUUGUAAGUCUGAUGUGAAAUCCCCGGGCUCAACCUGGGAAUUGCAUUGGAGACUGCAAGGCUAGAAUCUGGCAGAGGGGGGUAGAAUUCCACGUGUAGCAGUGAAAUGCGUAGAUAUGUGGAGGAACACCGAUGGCGAAGGCAGCCCCCUGGGUCAAGAUUGACGCUCAUGCACGAAAGCGUGGGGAGCAAACAGG
rnacentral:rRNA from 3 species